AGUGCGCGACGCAACGAACCCCUUUUUCAAGGGGGGUUCGCUCUUUUCCUCUCCGGCCGGCGAAUUCUAUUUGGAAAACAGCUUUCCUGGAACUCGCGCCGAUGCUCUCCGUUCCUCUUUUUUUCUAUCUGCCAUUUUUUUUCGUCCGUCUGAAAUUUACAUCGUUUCGAGAUCGUCGAGAAUUUAUGCACUCCCUCGUGCGCUACUUCACCUCGAAAAUUAUCGAUAGACCGGGGUGACGGCGAACGUCGCACGCGAUCGAUAAACGCGACACCCUUUCGAUGGGAUGUUUAAACCCUUUGCUUUUAGGUCUUGGGGUGUCGUGACGGAUUGAAACGUGGAGCGAAAAUUCAAUGCGCGAAUUUUGUUUUUAAAAAAAUUGCGCUGAAAAUUAACAAAUGCACGAGACACAGAUUUCUCUUUGUUCGAAACGUUAUGAAUGGCCGGGGAUCGAAUAUAUUUUGCAACAUGAUGAAACGAAACUUCGGUUGAUGACCUCGAAAUAAGAAAAAAGAAGGAGGAUAAAGUAUUUAAUUAAUUACGAUCACGUUUGUCACGGACGACGAACGAUCGAUACGAGUGACGAUUCGAGGUAACUGUGGCGUCGGAUAAUUAAUCAGUUGCCUUUGAGCGACGUUAUAUCGCAAGUCGCACACAAUCGGCCAUUGUUGCGACCAGAUACAGAAUAUUAUUGUGCGAAAGGGAAAAUAAACUUCCUCGGAUAAUGAAAAUUGAGAUAAAAUCGAGCGGUAGCUGCUAGAGAUAAUAUUAUUUUAGGUGCUAUUCAUAUUCUGUUAUAAGCUGAGAUACGAAUUAAUUUUCAUAUUAUUAAGGGAAGAAAAUAACCGAAAUACUCUCUACCAAGAAAAUUUACAUUGAAUCCUUA